GAUGAACGCUGGCGGCGUGCCUAAUACAUGCAAGUCGAGCGAACAGAUGAGGAGCUUGCUCCUCUGACGUUAGCGGCGGACGGGUGAGUAACACGUGGAUAACCUACCUAUAAGACUGGGAUAACUUCGGGAAACCGGAGCUAAUACCGGAUAAUAUAUUGAACCGCAUGGUUCAAUAGUGAAAGACGGUUUUGCUGUCACUUAUAGAUGGAUCCGCGCCGCAUUAGCUAGUUGGUAAGGUAACGGCUUACCAAGGCAACGAUGCGUAGCCGACCUGAGAGGGUGAUCGGCCACACGGGAACUGAGACACGGUCCAGACUCCUAAGGGAGGCAGCAGUAGGGAAUCUUCCGCAAUGGGCGAAAGCCUGACGGAGCAACGCGGCGUGAGUGAUGAAGGUCUUCGGAUCGUAAAACUCUGUUAUUAGGGAAGAACAAAUGUGUAAGUAACUAUGCACGUCUUGACGGUACCUAAUCAGAAAGCCACGGCUAACUACGUG
rnacentral:rRNA from 1 species